rnacentral:lncRNA from 1 species
GCAGCUAGGGGAUAUAACUUAAGGUGAGAAAUAAAAGUGAGACGAAGAAAACAUGUUUGGUGAACUGGUUUGAGCAGAACUCGUGUUUCAAGUUGGAAAUGUUCAAAUAGGAGGAAGAUAACUAAGUGAUAUGAAGUGAAAACAUGUGUCACUUGGCUCAGCCGGAACUGCUGUGUGAUAGGAUGUCCCUGUAUCAACCAUGAACCAGAAGUGGAACAGGGACCUAAUUAAUAUUUAUGCUGACCUUGGUGGCUGUUGUAAAAUAAACUACCAUACAUCUAAAACC